rnacentral:rRNA from 1 species
AGAGUUUGAUCCUGGCUCAGAUUGAACGCUGGCGGCAUGCCUUACACAUGCAAGUCGAACGGUAACGGGCCUUCGGGUGCCGACGAGUGGCGAACGGGUGAGUAAUACAUCGGAACGUGCCCGAGAGUGGGGGAUAACGAGGCGAAAGCUUUGCUAAUACCGCAUACGAUCUCAGGAUGAAAGCAGGGGACCUUCGGGCCUUGCGCUCACGGAGCGGCCGAUGGCAGAUUAGGUAGUUGGUGGGAUAAGAGCUUACCAAGCCUGCGAUCUGUAGCUGGUCUGAGAGGAUGAUCAGCCACACUGGGACUGAGACACGGCCCAGACUCCUACGGGAGGCAGCA